GAUGAACGCUGGCGGCGUGCUUAACACAUGCAAGUCGAGCGAAGCACUUAGGAAAGAUUCUUCGGAUGAUUUCCUAUUUGACUGAGCGGCGGACGGGUGAGUAACGCGUGGGUAACCUGCCUCAUACAGGGGGAUAACAGUUAGAAAUGACUGCUAAUACCGCAUAAGACCACAGCACCGCAUGGUGCAGGGGUAAAAACUCCGGUGGUAUGAGAUGGACCCGCGUCUGAUUAGUUAGUUGGUGGGGUAACGGCCUACCAAGGCGACGAUCAGUAGCCGACCUGAGAGGGUGACCGGCCACAUUGGGACUGAGACACGGCCCAAACUCCUACGGGAGGCAGCAGUGGGGAAUAUUGCACAAUGGGGGAAACCCUGAUGCAGCGACGCCGCGUGAGCGAAGAAGUAUUUCGGUAUGUAAAGCUCUAUCAGCAGGGAAGAAAAUGACGGUAC
rnacentral:rRNA from 1 species